AAGUUGUUGGUAGGCAUCCGCCCAUAGAUGAACCACAUUCUGCGAUUGAUUAUGUAUUUGUUUCUGUUACCAAAAUUAGACGGGGCAAUUUUUUAGGAACCAUUAUUUUUCAUGUAGCGUGUACUUAUUUUUGUGAUGAUUAAUUUCUGUAGAAUUUAUUUUGGACUUAUUGAAUUUGUUUACAAUGGUGCAGUGUGUUGUUUAUGGUUGUAAACACAGAAAUUAUAAAAAAGUACCAGGAUUAUCUUUUCACAGGAUCUACCAAGGAAAAGGACUUACACUAAAAGGAGCAACAUGUUGAAACCCCUCUUAAAAAGUACUGAAAAAGAAAAUAGCCAAGAGAAAAGUAGGAAAAUACGUAUACUUAGACAGUCUCUAAGAAGACAGAAACAAAAAAGUAGUAUCUCUAAAAUAUAUUAUUAAGACAUUACCUCAGAAAAAUAUGAUUUCAAGGGAUAAUAUCAUUUUAUUAGAAAGUAUGAAUAAUUUUCAAAAAGAAAUACUACAAAGUAAAGUUGUCAAGAAUGGAAAUAUACUCCAGAGUUAAAAGAAAUCGCUUUAUCACUAACUUUUUGUCUCCAAAGGUAUAUGUGAGAAAAGUUUUUGACACUUGUCUUCCUCAUCAAAGUACUAUCGGGAAAUGGUAUAAAACCAUUAAUACUGAACCAGGAUUUGCAAUGGAACCAUUGAAUGUUUUGAAAUCGUAUGUGGAAAAACAAAUCAAAACUGUUUUGUGUUCGUUGGUAAUGGAUGAAAUGGCUAUACGAAAACGUUUAAAAUGGGAUGGGAAAAUUUUUUUGGUUACAUCAACUUUGGAAUUGUAAUCAAUGUUGAUUCAAAUUAACGUAGCUGGGUUUGUAAUUAAAAAGUUAAAAAAAACUAUAAAGUGUGAGAAGUUUAUUGAUGCUUUAUCUGGAAAUAGAAAGAACUAUCUAAAUUCUCUAAUCACAUAAAAAAAUAGAGGAGUCUUAUUUAUCCAUCUGCAGAUGUGAUUGAAAUCUGUAAAUUAUGUGAAAAAUUUCUUAGAGUGUUCAAAGUUAAUUUGACUCAGAAAAGUUUUGUGAAUAUAUUAACCAGUUAAAUUGUAAGGCAUAAUAUCGGGAUGAACUUAUUCCAAACGCUUGUUUAGCAUAUUAUUAAAAAUUAUGUAAAUCAUGUUUAUUCUUCAAUAAAGUCUCUGUGUGUAUGAUUCAA